UACUAUGUGUUCCAGCCUUAGUCUCCUGUGCUGGGCACUGGCAAUACAUCAGUGAACCAGACAGACAAACAUCCUUGCCCUAGAGGAGUUUAUGAUCCACUGUAGGGGCAGCAUGUGGGAGGAAGUGGGACUCACCCCACCUGGUCUCAGUUUUCACCAAAGGUGUCCUGAUGUCACCAUGGACCUCCUGUGUUACUCAACAUAUUAACCAAAACCAAUCAGAAGCUUCAGUCACAGAAAAACAAGCCAUCUUGCCACUAUGGCAGCCAGAGGAUCAGGGAUUUCAUGGGUGGAAGCAUCUCGGGACAGUGGUAGGUCUUCUUAUGUUUUAACUACCCAUAAAGCUGUACCAAUGCAUCCAAACUUAAUGUCAGCCCUGGCUGCAGUUAACGUAGUUCUUGCUCUUGUAUCCCCAAUUUCUCCUCCAUUGAGGGGAAGCCAUCAAUAUCUCCUACCUCAGAUCUCAAAAUAAAACCUCGUAAACCUGGUCACUAGAAAAACGCUCAGCAAUGCCUGUAAUGGGUUGAAUGGUGUCAACACUAAAAAGGUAUGUUGAAGUGUUAAACCCCUACUACCUGUAAAUUUGACCUUAUUCGGGAAAAAACCAAAGGCCUUCGCAGACUGAGUAAUCAAGUUAAGACGAGCUUGUACUGUUGUGUGGUAGGCACUCCUGCAGUAUGACUGGUGUCUUUAUCAAAGGAGAGAAAUUUAGACCCAGACACAAAUUUAGACACACAUGUGAGGACACAGACACAGAGGAGGGCACCAUGUGAGAUGGACAAAUGCAGCUGCAAGCCAAGGAACUUCAAGGAUUGACAGCUCCCACAGAAGCUGAAAAAAGCAAGAAAGGAGCUUAUUCAGAGUACUGAAGGAAGCGUGGCCCUCCUGACAGCUUCAUUCCAGACUUCAGCCCCCAGAAUUCUGAGAGAAUAUAUUUCAGUUGUUUUAAGCCACCUAGUUUGUGUGGUAUUUUGUGACAGCAGCCCCAGGAAACUAAUGCAAUAUUCAAAUGCUGAAAAGAAACUUGACGUUCGUUUCCAGCUCAGCAUUUCCAUUGUACGGAUGAGCAAACAGAUGAGACCCAGUCAGAGGAAAGCAGUUGCCCAAGGUUACCAAGCAAAUGUGUGCCCAAAGUAGGCCCAAUCUCCCAGUCCGGGGCUCAGAAGAUACCUUUUUUUUGUUUGUUUGUUUCUUGUCAUCAUCAAGCUCCAGUCAUCCUCAAUGCUGUUAUCAUUUAUUAUUGCUGCAAGAAAGGAGGAGGCUCCAGAGUCUCUGUUUUCCAGUCCGCCGGGCGGUCUGUUUUUGCUGGCUUUGCAUGAAAACGGCCAGGCUGUUGGCUCUGCGGGGUAACAGGCUGACUUGGGGUGUGAUGUGAGUUGUAAGUACAAUGACAGACGGCUCCAGGAACAGCCCUGGGCACAGUCUAGCAGAGUGAACCAGAAAACCACAGCACGUCAAGAGCAUCUAAUGGCACCAUGUGGUUUCUCCACACCGCUCUCUGCCCUCCCUGCCAGGGUGCUUGCGAGCCCAGUGGGACUUUCUUAGUCUUUGUAUCACUCCUUGAAGAGGAGGAGGAGGGGAGGGAAGGAGAGUUUCUGCUUGAAGGCCUCAAAGAAUUCAUUUUAGUAUGCAUAAUGACAGCCUUUUAUGCCAACUCUGAUUCAAAGGUGCAUCAUUUUUGGCAUGCCCAAAUAACAUAGAAGAUGGGACCCGGGUGACAACAAAAGAUGGAAGAAAUAAAGAGCUGAGCCAGGCAGCAUCCAGGAACUGGAAACUGUUGGAUGGCACUAGAGCCAUGAGUCAGCCCCCUUGGAGAUAGCCUCACUGCAGAGUGGACACAAGCCAAGCACUUACAGAUGACCUUUCCUCACCUUCAGCCAUGAUGUUGGCCUUCAGGAAAUGAGAAAGCAUCAACCUUCUGCCUGUCCUUGGAGUCGGAACAUCUGGUUUGAGACACUGGAGAACUUGUCUGAUUCAGGAGAAGCUAGGGGAUUUCUCUGCAGGCAAAAGGAUUGCAGCGUCCUGAGGCUGUCCCUGACUUUGGAAAUCCACGGAAGUUUCAGCCCUGGCUGAGUUGCUCAUUUGCUGUAGGACAAACAUGGACCUAAAGCGGAUAUUAUGGGGCUAGACCCAUACCCUCCCUACACCGUGCCCAUGCAGGCAGACUCAAUGGCUUCCGACUGUAACCUCAAAGGUAAUACAUCAGUGGGACUAUAGACUUCAACAUGGAAGGACAAACCACCAAUGAGGAAUGAGGCAAUAUUCUCAUGAAAAGCCACCGUAGCCUAUACCCUCUGCCAUCACAAGCCAGGCCUGAUGUUGGGAUAUUGCCUGCCCUCUAACUAUUCCUUGGGUGACUGGACCAAGCUGGAGACACCCCCAUGAGCCCAGAAGCAGCCUUCCUUCCAACUCUGCUAACACCUGAACAGAUCUCCUUUUGAUUUUGGACUCUCUGAGAAGUGCUACAACAGCUUUUUCUGAAUCACUUUUUCUAGUUUUGUGCAAAUAGUAACUGGGGAAUCCAGAAGAAUGUACUAGAGCAGAGAGUUGGUCAAAAAUGUGUUAGUCCUAAGAAGAAAUAAAAGGGAGCCUGGACGUUAAAUCUGGGAAGGAGAACAGCUCGACGCACACGGAUUAAAAAUAUAUCACCCACAAUGAAUGAAAUGUUAAUAAACAGAAAUAAAGAAGUA